rnacentral:tRNA from 1 species
GCCGGAGUGGUGGAAUUGGCAGACACGCAGCACUUAGGAUGCUGUGCCUCAGGCGUGCGGGUUCAAGUCCCGCCUCCGGCA